AAUACCUGUACAGGAUAACAAAAUUGUUAAUUGUCGAGUUUACUAUAAGAAGCAUAAUGAGAUAGCACCAUAAUGCCGCAGAAUAUUGAAAGUAUAACAUUUGUUUUAUGAAGGAUGAAACAUCAACCAAUGGAGCUAGAGUUGUGUUUAUAUAGAUAUAUUUAACGAAUUAAAUUUUUGCCAGAUUGGUUAUGAUCUUCUAAUGUCUUUCAGUUAGCAACACCAAGAAAUUAAUGAUCAACACACUCACUGGAUGCUUGAAACUGCAUAUCGAGGAAGCCUUUCACAACCACUUCUUUAUUCACAAAAUUAGUUGCUCUAGAGGGAUUCAUUGGUAUAGCAAGUUGAUCUGUGUGUUCUUACACACCUGAAGAAAGCAAGUAGCCAGGGUCUAGAGAAAUGGCUAAGAAUGAAAAGAUACAAAAUAUAGUGAUGGUGUAUUAACAAAGAAUGAAAAUGUUUGGUGCCAACAAUUAGCAUUGUAAUUGGAC